UGACAAUAAAACAAGAAGGACACACAUUAGACACAUUACAACACUGUGGAGAGGGCAUCACGUCACUCAUUACUGUUAUUUCUAAUGAACAUUUACUGAAAGAUUAACAUCAGUCGUGUUUUCUGCAGAUGGGUUCUGUAAACGUACUCACAUAAUGUUAGCUACGAGCUGCUGCACUGGUCUCCUCUUGGGGUUCAGGCAAUAGCGAUAUCCGCUGUUGGUGGUGACACUGUUGAAAUGGAAAGUAGAGAAGACGGUUGCUUGGAAGAUCUGGACAUCCUUUACGUCAGAGGUAUCCAACCUCUUGACACUUGAGCACAGACACUGCUUUCCUGAUCCAAGUUCUGGAGAGAAAUACAAAGGUUGAUGUGACUGUCAUGGCAGAGUCUCCUUCAGCACCUGAUGUGUCUGUAAUGAUGAAAGACAAAGCGAGUGUAUGGUCACAUUGAGCCGGGAACUGCCCCUAAUCACCCUGUAAGUCAGGAAAUGACACAGACCUACUAAAAAUGAAGAUUGUGUCUGAAUGGGCCUGAGUACAUAUGAUUGUGAGUAUGCCUCUGGCCUGAAUCUUACAUCAAAAACCAAAAAACUUUGGGAUAUUAGGACUGACUGAUAUUUUCAGGAGUUUCUCCUGACUUGAGCUUCUUGCCAAUUCAAUAUUGCAUGAGAUGUAUUUCUUGCAUUGGCAGGCCUGAACCACAAGGUUACACUGUUGACAUAUGACACAGUAUCGGAAAAAAGGAGCAGAUAACAAUGAGUCGAUGCUUUUUUGAUUAUGUCUUUUAUUAUAAAAAACUGGAAUGAACAAAACACUUGGUUCACAGCACAUGAAUGUAUUUACAGAAGUCAAAGGAAAUAAAACGGAGAUAUACUGUAUGUGCACAAAAGUAUAAAUACAAGAUAAAUAAUAAAAAAAAGCUUCAUUCAGUUCA